rnacentral:rRNA from 1 species
CCUACGGGAGGCUGCAGUGGGGAAUAUUGGACAAUGGGGGAACCCUGAUCCAGCCAUGCCGCGUGUGUGAAGAAGGCCCUCGGGUUGUAAAGCACUUUCAGUGAGGAAGAACGCCUGGUGGUUAAUACCCAUCAGGAAAGACAUCACUCACAGAAGAAGCACCGGCUAACUCCGUGCCAGCAGCCGCGGUAAUACGGAGGGUGCGAGCGUUAAUCGGAAUUACUGGGCGUAAAGCGCGCGUAGGUGGCUUGAUAAGCCGGUUGUGAAAGCCCCGGGCUCAACCUGGGAACGGCAUCCGGAACUGUCAAGCUAGAGUGCAGGAGAGGAAGGUAGAAUUCCCGGUGUAGCGGUGAAAUGCGUAGAGAUCGGGAGGAAUACCAGUGGCGAAGGCGGCCUUCUGGACUGACACUGACACUGAGGUGCGAAAGCGUGGGUAGCAAACAGGAUUAGAUACCCGAGUAGUC